rnacentral:rRNA from 1 species
CCUACGGGCGGCUGCAGUGGGGAAUAUUGCACAAUGGAGGAAACUCUGAUGCAGCAACGCCGCGUGGAGGAUGACGCAUUUCGGUGUGUAAACUCCUUUUAUGAGCCAAGAUAAUGACGGUAGCUCAUGAAUAAGCACCGGCUAACUCCGUGCCAGCAGCCGCGGUAAUACGGAGGGUGCAAGCGUUACUCGGAAUCACUGGGCGUAAAGGACGCGUAGGCGGGUUGGAAAGUCAGGUGUGAAAUCCUACAGCUUAACUGUAGAACUGCACUUGAAACUUCUAACCUAGAGUAUGGGAGGGGGAGAUGGAAUUAGUGGUGUAGGGGUAAAAUCCGUAGAUAUCACUAGGAAUACCCAAAGCGAAGGCGAUCUCCUGGAACAUAACUGACGCUAAGGCGUGAAAGCGUGGGGAGCAAACGGGAUUAGAUACCCCUGUAGUC